rnacentral:rRNA from 1 species
GAUGAACGCUGGCGGCGUGCCUAAUACAUGCAAGUCGAGCGAACAGACGAGGAGCUUGCUCCUCUGACGUUAGCGGCGGACGGGUGAGUAACACGUGGAUAACCUACCUAUAAGACUGGGAUAACUUCGGGAAACCGGAGCUAAUACCGGAUAAUAUAUUGAACCGCAUGGUUCAAUAGUGAAAGACGGUUUUGCUGUCACUUAUAGAUGGAUCCGCGCCGCAUAGCUAGUUGGUAAGGUAACGGCUUACCAAGGCGACGAUGCGUAGCCGACCUGAGAGGGUGAUCGGCCACACUGGAACUGAGACACGGUCCAGACUCCUACGGGAGGCAGCAGUAGGGAAUCUUCCGCAAUGGGCGAAAGCCUGACGGAGCAACGCCGCGUGAGUGAUGAAGGUCUUCGGAUCGUAAAACUCUGUUAUUAGGGAAGAACAAAUGUGUAAGUAACUAUGCACGUCUUGACGGUACCUAAUCAGAAAGCCACGGCUAACUACGUG